CGGCGAGGACGACCUCGCUUCCCCAAAAAAAAAUCGGCCGGGACGACCCGC
rnacentral:ncRNA from 1 species